GGAAAUGCAAGAAACUUUAAAAAAUAUUGGCAAUGCAACAUGUAAAAAAAAACUAAUGCAAAUUCAAUAAAUUUAAAAAAAAUGCAACAUGUAUAAAAAAAAAACUAGAGACAUAUUAACAAAAUAUAUAAAUUGCAAGAAACAUUUAAAUACAAAUUAAUAUGACAUAGAAAUUAAUAGAACGAAAAUGACGAAUAAUUUAC
rnacentral:lncRNA from 1 species